GUUAGAGUGAAGAUGAUAUUUGGAAAGAAAUUAGAAAUUGCUUUUGGGAUUACAGAACAGUAGACAAUGUCAGCCAGUCUUUGCUGCAUGGACCCUUGUAGUAGCAUUUGAAAAUUCAAUUUGGUGGUUAGAGUUUUUUCUGUUUGCUAGAUUUCAUGCUUGAAUGCAUAUCAGUAUUUUGUCUUCUUUUAAAAAUUAGCACAGAAAGGAUAUGUCUUUGUCUCCCCCCCCUUUUUUUCCCUUGAAAAAAGGGGAAGAGCAAAUGAGAAUGGAAAUUGUAACAUCGUAAUUGAUGCCAAUUUAUUCAACUAUUUAUGCCUUACAGUGAGAAUGAAGUGCUAUUGAGAUGCAAUUUUAGUCCCAAAUGGUGAUGCUUUAAAAUAAUACAGGUCUUAAUUGACUGUAUUCUCUUUCUCUGGAUGUUCUCUGGGCAACAUGUAUCUUCUUCCCGCUAUAAUCUGAGAUAUUUAAUUGGAAAGCAUUAUAUCCUGAGAUAAACUUGUCUUCCCUUUUGAGCUUUUGAACCCUAAAUCUCACUCUAAAACAUAAGGAAAGCCAUCAGUAAAAAUUAAGUUGAUAAGUGGGAUAUUUGUGUCUUGGGUGUUGAUAUGUAAUUUUUGGCCUCUUGCGUAUUAUAUAAUUUGGUGUGUUGUGAUGAAUAUUUAUGAUGAACAUGACUAAAUAUAGGGCUUUGUUGGAAAAGCCGUACUUCCCCCAAUAGCAUGAACUUUUAUAAGUCCUCCAAAAUACGUCUCCCAAUUUAACAAACAUUUAUUGGGUGCUUGCUUUUUGAACCAUUUUAGAGCCAUGCAGUUCAUUAAAUAAGAAUAGUAGGUAAAAUUAUACAUGCCUUUUUAAAUUUUACUAGGAAGAAUGCCUUUGGGCUAUAGUUUUACACUACUGAUAGAUGUUUGUCUUCUAGGUUGAAAUUGGCAAAGAUCAGACACCUUUUUAGACAGGUGUUCUGGAGUAGCACUGACAACACGGUUCACCCAGUAUUUCAUGACAAUCAGAGAUUCCUGAUAGGAUGAAUGCCUUGCAAGGCCAGACAGUAGCUCUCCUCAUUCAUUUUGCUUCCGUUUUUUUAGUGACUUGCAUGUAUUAAGUGUUUCCUUUGGGCCUCUAAGUGUUGUCGAGGCUACAGGGUGAAAGGCUGUCACAGCGCUCGAGAGGCUGUCUGUUUAACCGGGAGGACUUUAGUCAAAUUGAAUACUUAGAGGAGAGUCAUGUGUGGAAUAGGAAAUGCUAGCUCUAAGGGUAGCACAAAUGAAAAUAAGAGAGGUGUGGUAGGCCUGGGUAGUUGGGAAUGUCAUGGAGGGAGCCUUUAGGGCUUGAACUGAGCCUUGACGCAUGAGUAGGAAUGGACAGGUAAGGGCAUCACCAAAAGCAAAAGCCUGAACGCAGGGGUGAGUGCCUUAGGUUUAGUGAUUGGGAAAUAGAUCUGCAUGGUCCAGGUGGGGAUUUAACAAGAUAAUCUAGUGAAGAGCUACCACUUGGCCUGUCUGGAUACCUAGUUCUGGAUCUGCUACCACAUCUGUGAUAUGAGGCAUGUCACAACUUCCUUGAGCCAUGAUUGCCUUACUCCUAAAACAAAAGAACUGUACCUAGUGAUCCCUAAAUAAAGCACAUUCUAGCACAAAGAUUUUUUAUCAACUCUGAAGAUUGAGUUGCAAACUAAUUUAGUUAAAGUGAAAUAGGGGGAUCACUCAUGUAAAGCCAUGAAAACUAGGUUUGGAUUUGAUGCAGAAGACUUUUAGAACCAUUUUGGGUUCAAAAGCUAUGGAAGCAAUAUUUCAAUGAGAAUAGUCUUAAAAUAGUAUGUAUUCAGGUAGGUUGGGUCGUAAUCCAGUGGAAAAAGGCAAGGAAGGGCAUAUCCAGAAAACAUUUUAAAAGAGGCACAGAUUAGGUAGAGCUUGGAAGAAAUGGAAGAACCCAAGUUGUCACUGGUAUAAUUAGCCCGGAUGAGUGGAGAGAUGGCAUUAUUCUUAAUAAGAUUGCAGUAGUUGAAAAGGAGCUCUCAUCCAUUGCCUCCUUGCAGGUGAUGGAGAAGGUGAAUUUAUUUUCCAACAUCUUAAGUUUGCAGUAAUGAGAUAUCAGGCAGGCAUGGCUUGCUUGAGUGGCAGUCACAGUAUGGUUGUGGAUGUAGGUUUUAUGAGCAUAGAAGUGAUAUUUAAUGAGUUUAUUAAGAAAGUAAGGGAAGAGGUCCCUGCCGUGUAGCACUGGGAAUUGUAUCUAGUCACUUAGGAUGGAGCACGAUAAUGUGAGAAAAAAUCCAUACAUGUAUGUGUAACUGGGUCACCAUGCUGUAUGGUAGAAAAUUGACAGAACACUGUAAACCAGCUAUAAUGAAAAAAAUAAAAAUCAUUAUAUAAAAA
rnacentral:lncRNA from 1 species